rnacentral:rRNA from 1 species
AUGGAUCUCUGGGAGAGGGCGCGGUCCUUCGCCGGCGAGGCGGCAAAGCGCUCGCAGGAGCUGUCGCUGGAGGCGGCCAAGCGGUCGUCGGUGCUGGUGUCGGAGACGGCGAAGAAGUCCAAGGAGAUCUUCUCGGAGACUGCCAUCAAGUCCCGCGAGAUGGCCGCGGAGGCGACCAAGCAGGCCGACCUCCUCGCCGGCCAGAUCAUGCACCUCGCCUCGGACAUCCCCGUCCCCUCCAUCCCGCCCAUCCCCGCGAUCUCGCCCCUCCCCUCCGCGGCCGAGUCGGAGCCCGACGCCGCCGAGCUCGAGCGCUACGGCAUCACCGACGACCUCCGCGAGUUCGUCAACGGCAUGACCAUAAGCACCUUCCGCGACUUCCCCUUGCAAGAUGAGCCGGAGAUGUCUGAUGUGCCCACGGUGUCGAAUGUGCGUCAGGAUCUGAACGAAUGGCAGGCUAGGCACGCCACUCUCGUCCUCUCGGCCGUCAAGGUUUUGUUUCGAUUAACCAUUUCAGUCAGUGGGGGUUUAAUGCAUGAAAUUUCAAAGUUCAGAUAUGAGCUGUGCCCAAGAUACAUGAAAGAGCGUAAAUUCUGGCGAGUUUAUUUCUUGCUAGUAAACAACUAUGUAACCCCUUACGAGACCAAAUAUUUUGAGGAGCUGAAAGUGAAAGCCGAGGAGGAAAAAAUGGUUGCCCAGAAGGAAAUAUCACAGACCUCACAAACUACAACUUCAGAACAGAAAGACAUGAAGGUGCCAAGCAAGACAUCUACCUCAUCAAAUCGAGAGCAGGAUCUGGAUGUAUUUCUUCUUGGAGAUCUAGGCAGUGAUGAUGAGGGUCCUGAUGCUGGCGAUGAUGAUGAGCUAGACGAUGACUUUGAUAAGAUAGAUGGUGCCUCAGUAAGUACACCUGCUUCCCUUAAAAUAGAUACCGUCACUAGCCACAGUUUAUAA